CUGUGCGGAGGCCCGCCGCGGACGCUAGGGUGCCGAGCACGCCCUGAAGGCACAGCCGCGCGACGUGGACGUCGCCACGCUGGCACGCCUGGAGCUGGAGAAGAAGGGGCAGUCGCUGCUGGACCAGCUGGCCUUCGUGCGCUCUUUCCUCAUCACUUCUGCCAGAACAGAAGGGUUGCCCCGUCUCUGUUCCACAUCUCCUUUAAGAGCUCUGGUGGUGUGUUAAUGGAGGAAGUUUACAAGUCCCAGAAAAGGAAUACCAAAGUAUACUUGGAAUUGGAAGAGGAUGCGGCACCAUUGGAAGAUUGAACCAGUCGUUUGAAUCCAGUCAAGACAUUCCAAAGUUCACCUGUGACUAACUGAGGCCUUAAUAAAGGCAAAACCUCUGACCUUGGUCCUCUGUGUUCCCUAUCUUGUGUAAAUUAACAUUUGAACAUGAGUUAUGAAAUGCGUGACAUAUCAAAAAGGAAAGCACCUGAUACUGGGAAAUAUGCAUAUAGAUGAGAGGAAGGAAAGAAUUCAAUGAAUGCUAAAUUAUGGGUCUACAGAGGGCUGCCUUUGUUAAAUUGACAUGUCCCUAUCUAUAAACCCCAGAGUAUUCAAUGGAAGGUAUAAGGGGCAAGUGUACCUGGAAAACCUCCCUUUAAGAAAAAAAAAUCUUCGUGAUAGAAAGACUUUAUAAAAUAUUAGAUGAAAAUACCCCUUUCAAAAUGUGUUUGUUUUGUAGUGCCCCCCUUUCUGGCUUCUCUGCAUACUUAAAAGUCAUCACCACCUUGAGUAGAUUGCUUGCUUUUAAAAAGACAUUACACCUUUCCUAGUUCUGACACAGAGCUACCAGACCUGCAUUUUGAAAUGUCUUAUUGUCAUCACCAUAAGCAUUUCUGUGAAGGAAAGCAAAGCCAAACAAAGCCAAAUACACACACACACACACACACACACAUUUUUUUUCUAAUCCACUCAACAACAAUGCAUCCAGGACACCCUCUAUGGCCCAGGUUUCAGGGCUACAGAUGCCUGUAGACAGAAAGCUAUUUCGAGCAUUGAAAACAGCCUUAUUACCCUGCCAUUUUUGCACUGUUUUUUUUCCCCCUUCCCUGUGACAUUAGAGAGUCCGAAGUGACAUACAUUUUUUAUAGCUUCAUAAAGUCGUCUCCUGACCGGGUCACCCUUCUCAUAACUAGGGAGCAGAACGCUUGAAAAAACCCAUUCAUCAAUGUGAAAGCAGCCUCUGUCUGCGGGUUCCAAUACGCACAGUCUGGCAAGAUCCAGCUCAGUGCAAAUGUGAACUUACUCCUUUGCUAAUGCCAAAUGACCCACUCACUUCUAUCAGCACACUGAGGAGGACACGAAGGGCAAGGUGGCCAUACACAUCUGCACAAGUGCUUCUUGACAGAGCUCAGCACCCAGCCUUCUUGCUAAAUGUACUGCACACAUUCAAAAAUUAGUUUUAUAUUUAUACUAAUUAAAUAUUCAAUUAAACAAAGAUAAAAUGAUGGACGGAAAUUUAUUCUUGCCUAAUGAACUAUAGCCCAUUUAUUACUUUUCACAGAUAUACCAUUAAAGUUCUGAUGAAAAAUUGCUGGAAUGGUUACCCUCCUUUUUAUUUCUUUAAAUGUUUUCCUCUAUGCUUUGUUUAGACAUUCAAACACAGAAUAGCCUAUCCAGGCAUGACAGGUAGGUAAAAGAAGAUAGAGAAGGUGGAACCAAGAGAAAACGGUUAUUCCUUAAAAUUUCUGUGAUUGGCAGAAAUUUCCUCCAUUAAAGCAGAAGACCUUUCAAGGGCUCUCUCCUGUGGAAUUUAAUGGUGUGAUUCAGGGACAUGCAGUCUUAUAUGUACUUGUCAUGGAUGUUAGCUCUGUUAAAAUUGAGGUCUUCUGACAGGUGCAACCAACCCUCAGGUCAGAAUGAAUAGAACAUUUCACCCCCACCCCUGCACAUGAUUUCCUGAGUUUCUGUACUGAGCCUUCCAGUUUUAGAAACCUGAAUUCGAAUUUGAGUUAGGAUGACAUAUGAAUAAAGCAUGACGAGUCACACUUUGGAAAUCUGUUUUUGAGAUUAUUGCU